rnacentral:rRNA from 1 species
UACAGAGGGGGCAAGCGUUGUUCGGAAUUACUGGGCGUAAAGGGCGCGUAGGCGGCCUUCUAAGUCGAACGUGAAAUCCCCGGGCUCAACCCGGGAACUGCGUCCGAUACUGGGAGGCUUGAAUCCGGGAGAGGGAUGCGGAAUUCCAGGUGUAGCGGUGGAAUGCGUAGAGAUCCGGAAGAACACCGGUGGCGAAGGCGGCCUGCUGGGCAGUGGCUGACGCUGAGGCGCGACAGCGUGGGGAGCAAACAGG